GAGAUCUUCUAUUUAAAAUAAUUAACUGACAGAGUCUUGCUCUAUCACCAGGCUGGAGUGCAGUGGCAUAAUCUCGGCUCACAGCAACACCCGCCUUCUGGGUUCAACCAUUUUUCUGCCUCAGCCUCCCAAGUAGCUCAACUUGGGACUACAGGGCUACAUACGUGAUAAUUCUAGACCAGCAUCUGACCCUUUUGUGCACUCAGU
rnacentral:lncRNA from 13 species